UGUAAGACUAACUCUAAGUCGCUCUGGAUAAGAGCGUCUGGUAACUGACUAAAC
rfam:Salmo salar isolate Sally breed double haploid chromosome ssa02, whole genome shotgun sequence.